rnacentral:rRNA from 1 species
UACGUAGGCAGCGAGCGUUGUUCGGAAUUACUGGGCGUAAAGAGUGUGUAGGCGGUGCUCUAAGUUCGGUGUGAAAUCUCCUGCUCAACUGGGAGGUGCGCCGGAAACUGGAGUGCUUGAGCGUGGGAGAGGAAAGCGGAAUUCCUGGUGUAGCGGUGAAUGCGUAGAUAUCAGGAGGAACACCUGUGGUGUAGACGGCUUUCUGGACCAUAGCUGACGCUGAGGUGCGAAAGCGUGGGAGCAAACAGG